UUGUACUUAUCAACUUUGGUAUAGACAUGAUUGUAUUUUAAUAGGUCUCUUUGUUAUACGACUCUUGUUUUAUUUUUGUACUUAUCAACUUUGGUAUGUACAUGAUUGUAUUUUAGUAGGUCUCUUUGUUAUGUAGAUUUGAACGUAAUACACAACUAUAAAAAGCCAAUUCUCGUUAAACCCGCAAGACUCUUUUUCCACUCUUCUUCUACUGAUACAAAAAACAGUUGAUCGUCUUCUUCGCCAAUUCUUGUAAAGCCAAAAAAGAUGGCGCCAAAAGGAAAAGGAAAGCAGAAAGGGAAAGGAAAUUCCAAGAAAACAGACAACAGAGCUCAAGAGCCAACAUCCAACUGCAUUUUUAAGCCAGAAAUCAUCUCUAACAUCCUCUCUUGGCUUCCUUUGAAGACCCUUUUACAAUACAGGUCUGUUUGCAAGCAGUGGCAGAAGCUCAUUUACAAGUCCGAUUUCGUCGCCACCCAUUACCUCCAUUCCUCUUCUUUGCAGCGCACUGAUUCAUCCAUGAUUAUUAUACAGAGCCGCGUUGACAAGUCCAAUGAUGGAAGGUUUGAUCAUAAUGUACUCGUACAAUACAAACCCCCUCUACCACCUAUCGAAGUGAAAAAUCCUUACCCUAACAGCUUACCCAAAAUGUCCAUUGCCGGUCCUGUCAAUGGCAUUCUCUGCAUUUUUCAGCCACCUUUGGGUGAUGCGCUUACACUUUGGAAUCCAGCAAUGAACAAGUCUAAGAUGGUCAUGCGUUCUAAAACCAUCAACCCCUCACAGAAAGUAUCAGUUGGAUUGGCGUUUGAUUCACAGAAAAAGGAUUUGUUGAUCUUGAGAAUCUUUUGUGUUCCCCCAUUUCCAGGAUAUACCAAAACCAAUGUGGAAUUCGAAAUACGUGAAAUGAAGUAUCUUUUAGGAUGGAAGAAGCUGAAAAGUAAAAGAAAUUAUUUUUAUAUUGACAAGCCUUCUUGUGAUGCGAUCUUUAAAGCGGAGCCUUAUUGGAUGGCUUAUGAUUAUGAAAAGUAUAUUCCCGGCAAGUAUGAGAGGUUGGUGCGCUUUAAAGUGAGUAAAAUGGAUUUUGAAUGGUUGCUACUGCCAUUUGUCGGAGUAGGGGAUUAUUAUGCGACUCUUGAGAAUUUUGAGGAUUCUCUUGGUUUUUUGAUCUGGUGGAAAAGAGACAAUUCCUAUAUUGAUGUUUGGGAAGUGGAUGAUAAGAAAUUUCAAUGGAGAAAGAAAUGUAAGCUAGGACCGUUAUCCGGGUUUGGCAGAAUUUUGGGCUGUUUGAGGAAUGGUGAUAUUGUAGCCGAGAAUGAAGACGGGGUGUUGUUGUUUUACGCGGUGAAUAAAUCAGAAUUGGUAGUUCAGAAUGAUGAGAACCUUUAUCCUUGCUCAGUUAAGAAGACAUUGACAUUGGAGAAUUCUGAGAAAGGAUCACAUGUGAUUUUUGACUGCCCGGAGGGCCUACUUUUGAUCGAAGGGAUGCUAACAGUUUGAUCCGCAAGAUGUCUUGAAAUGGAAAAGUCUCUUAAGCACAGAAGAAGACUUCAUACGGCCGCUGUGACAACUCUUAGUAUUCACUUCACAACUUUCUCAUACGGCAGUGGAGAGUGGAAGAAGGGCUUUGCAAUAUUUAGGAUUAGAUGGAAAGAAGAGUUCUAUAGGGAUUGAUGUCUUCAAUUUGAAAGAGCAUGACAGUCUGGCGCUUAUCAAAAUUGUCUCAAUUUGAAUGUAGAUUAAUGUACAAAUUUAAAAGAGCAUGUAUCAAAUACUCUCAUGGAUGUUUGUGUUUGAAGCAUAGACAAGGUAAUGUAAUAUA